GUUCAUCCAGUGUCAUACCUGUGAGAUCCUUUGCCUUCCUAAUCGCAGUCACUUUAACAUUCCAUUUUGAUUUUGGUAAUACCCUCAGCACCUUCUCAGCUUGUUCAGUGAUGACUUUUCCCAAGAAAGUCAGAUCAUUUGUUAAGUCAAUAAUCCUUGUCAUCAUCUCAUGGAAGGAUUCAUUAUCCUUCAUUUUAAAUACUUCAUACUCGG
rnacentral:lncRNA from 1 species